GACGAACGCUGGCGGCGUGCUUAACACAUGCAAGUCGAACGAUGAAGCUAGAGCUUGCUCUGGUGAAUUAGUGGCGAACGGGUGAGUAACACGUGAGUAACCUGCCCCGAACUCUGGGAUAACUGCUGGAAACGGUAGCUAAUCCUGGAUACGACCUACGAAGGCAUCUUCUGUAGGUGGAAAGAAUUUCGGUUCGGGAUGGACUCGCGGCCUAUCAGCUUGUUGGUGAGGUACUGGCUCACCAAGGCGACGACGGGUAGCCGGCCUGAGAGGGUGACCGGCCACACUGGGACUGAGACACGGCCCAGACUCCUACGGGAGGCAGCAGUGGGGAAUAUUGCACAAUGGGCGCAAGCCUGAUGCAGCAACGCCGCGUGAGGGAUGACGGCCUUCGGGUUGUAAACCUCUUUUAGUAGGGAAGAAGCGAAAGUGACGGUACCUGCAGAAAAAGCACCGGCUAACUACGUGCCAGCAGCCGCGGUAA
rnacentral:rRNA from 1 species